UUUUUCUACAGCGGCAUUGACGCUCUUGAAAGUGUUAAGGAAUGCAUGAGGAGCAAGGUAUGCCAUGAGUUCUAUUUUUCUAGUUCAAGUUUGUUAACAUUUGCAGUGCAUCUUAUACAGCAUGCGAUGCACCUUAGGACUGGACAUAUGUUUGUAGGUUUAGUUUUGUCACUUGAACUUAUCAAGGUUUGUGGGAGUGUUGCG
rnacentral:lncRNA from 1 species